rnacentral:rRNA from 1 species
CCGGCAAACGGGUGCGGAACACGUACGCAACCUUCCUUCAAGCGGGGAAUAGCCCAGGGAAACUUGGAUUAAUACCCCAUAACACAAUUGGUUCGCAUGGACUGAUUGUUAAAGAAUUUCACUUGAAGAUGGGCGUGCGUCUGAUUAGGUAGUUGGCGGGGUAACGGCCCACCAAGCCUACGAUCAGUAACUGGUGUGAGAGCACGACCAGUCACACGGGCACUGAGACACGGGCCCGACUCCUACGGGAGGCAGCAGUAAGGAAUAUUGGGCAAUGGACGAAAGUCUGACCCAGCCAUGCCGCGUGGAGGAUGAAGGUCCUCUGGAUUGUAAACUUCUUUUAUCUGGGAAGAAAAAAGGGAAUUCUUUCCCGUCUGACGGUACCAGAUGAAUAAGCACCGGCUAACUCCGUGCCAGCAGCCGCGGUAAUACGGAGGGUGCAAGCGUUAUCCGGAUUUACUGGGUUUAAAGGGCGCGUAGGUGGACUGGUAAGUCCGUGGUGAAAUCCCCGAGCUUAACUUGGGAACUGCCAUGGAUACUAUUAGUCUUGAAUUUUCUGGAGGUUAGCGGAAUAUGUCAUGUAGCGGUGAAAUGCUUAGAUAUGACAUAGAACACCGAUUGCGAAGGCAGCUGGCUACAGAAACAUUGACACUGAGGCACGAAAGCGUGGGGAUCGAACAGGAUUAGAUACCCUGGUAGUCCAC